rnacentral:rRNA from 1 species
UACAGAGGUCUCAAGCGUUGUUCGGAUUCAUUGGGCGUAAAGGGUGCGUAGGUGGCUCGGUAAGUCGUGUGUGAAAUUUCGGAGCUUAACUCCGAAACUGCAUUCGAUACUGCGGUGCUUGAGGACUGGAGAGGAGACUGGAAUUCAUGGUGUAGCAGUGAAAUGCGUAGAGAUCAUGAGGAAGACCAGUGGCGAAGGCGGGUCUCUGGACAGUUCCUGACACUGAGACACGAAGGCCAGGGGAGCAAACGGG